rnacentral:lncRNA from 1 species
GGCAGUCUCAAGACUUGGCUCCGCUCAGUUGCACGGCGAUGUGAGGUGACGCCUGGACUUGUCCCGAGUCUCUCUAGAUCCUUGCUAGGAGAGAUGUCGAGACCUGUCUGUGUACUGCACUGGCAGCGGGAGCCCGGGGGCACAGAGGGGUGGGGAUCGGCUUUGUGUCGAGUCAACCAGGGUUAAGUAGCCAGGCUUGCUAUCCCCCUGCCACUAGCCUCUGCUUUAAACGUCCUCACGGAAGGAAGAACCGAGCAGUGUUGCUUUUGGUUCCAAGUCACAGCGGUACUUAGGGCUCCAUUUGGGAGUGAACCUGCUCCAGAUUCUUGGCUGCGGCCCCGAGUGUCCACAGCCGCAAGUACCUGCCAGCAGAGCCAGGCAGAACCUCAGUAUAAUCCUGUGCCUUACUAAGGUGAAGUGCUUUCUCUCUGCCUUGGCUCUGCCUUUUAGUGGAGGAAGGGUUUUCAUGGUCGACUACUGACUGCUUCGAUAUAAUUAUGCUUAUAUAAUUCUUCAGAGAAUUAUCUCUGAAGCAAAACUUUAAUAUAGCCGGCUAGAACCCUGCCAACAUUCUGCCAGUGUUUAAUGCCUGCCAAGUGUUUUGCAUGCACUAUCUCAAUUACCCCUUAUAAUAAUAAUUACUUAUAUGCCCAUUUUAAAGAUGAAGAAACUGAGGCUCCCAGGUGUUCAAUAGCUUGCCUAAGAGUGGCAGAGCCAGGAUUACAACCUAGGUGUUUGAUUGUAUAGCACUCAAAGGGCUAGUGUGCUUUCCCACAAAAUUAUCCCCAGCUUUUCUUCUCAUGUAGAAUUUCGUAAUAUAAUCAGAGAUGGACCCUCUGCUAUGACCGUGCUUUGCACUCUUCUUGUGGAGAUGACAUCUCUCUGGAAGGCGCUUCCUCAUCUACAUUAUGGCUCCAAGGGAUGGAGACUCUGAAAUAUUUUUCUGUGUGGUGCCAAGCCCACCUCCAGGAUCUUUUGGGGGACUCCCAACUCACCCAUCUCCAGUUAAUAAUUCUUUGUUGGGCUGUGUGCUUUAUUGAGGUGCUGUGGGCUCACAAAGGUGUGUUUCUUAGUAACAUGAAAGAAAAUGCUUCCAGCUUAUAUGUGUAGUCUGUCAUUUCAAACUUUGGACCUCGCUCAGUGACGGCUUGGGUCAUUGAACGAGUCCAGGGAGCUUCCUAACCUUAGUUUGUCUAUCUAUAAAAUAGUGAUUAUGAAAUUGGCCCUGCCCGCAGGACAGUACUAGGUACCUUGAACAGCAGUGCCCUCUCUUUACAGCAGAAAGGUGAGCAGAGUCAGAGCCUUGGUGUUCUGGCUGCUCUCUGCAGCAGUUUGGUGCAUUCCAGGGAGAUAAUAAUGACCAGACAGUGGAUAGAUAGUAACACCCAUUAAAGCCAUUGUGCACGAGGUAUUUAUCAACUACUACCCUGCCUGAGCAACGGGACAGCCCCAUCUAGAAGAGAUAUCCAUGUAGACAAGUAGACCAUACUACCGAAGCUUGAUGGCUUUUUCUUUCUUUUUUAUUUUUUUAAGAUGUAUUUAUUAUUAUAUGUAAGUACACUGUAACUGUCUUCAGACACCAGAAGAAGGCUUCUUCAACAACAGAAAAAAAAAAAAAGUUGCCAUUUGAAAACAUUCUAUUUGGCAUUUUUUUAGUAGCAGUUUUUAAACUAUAUCCCAAUUAUUUCCCUCAAAUAAGAUAUACACAGGG